GCUUCAAAUGAGGAACAUGCAAUUUCAGUAGAAAAAAUGACAUCCAAAGUCACAGAUGCUGUAGUCUGGUAUCAAAAGAAGAUUGGAGCAUAUGAUCAACAAAUAUGGGAAGAAUCUGUUGAACAAAGAGAAAUUAAGGGUUUAAGGAAUAAACCAAAGAAAACAGGACAUGUGAAACCAGAUCUCAUUGAUAUUGAUUUUGUAAGAGGGUCUGCAUUUGCUAAGGGAAAACCUGAAAGUCCUUGGAGUUCUCUGACCAGAAAGGGAAUUAUUCAAGUCGAUUUUUUUCUUUCUUUUUUUUUUUUUUCGCUUCCCGUGGUGGUUACAAUUAACAUCAAAAGUCAUCUUUUUCUGGCUUCUUGUCCUUUAUCUUCUUCAAGUUGCUGUACUAGUAUUAUUCUGUCCACUUCCAGCCCACAUGGUAUACCUCUGACAGAAGUGAU
rnacentral:lncRNA from 1 species